rnacentral:lncRNA from 1 species
CAUACACUCUAAUAUAAACUUAAGGUUUUGAGAAUGCAAUUAAAAAUAGGCUACUUUAAUGUAACAAUGAGUAAAACAUUAGCUAAUUUCUCCAAAAAGUCACUGUAAAGUGAGACAGAUAAAUUCAUUAAAUUGUUACAGUUAACCAAAAGCUGCUGUAAUACUGCUCAUUUCACGUAUAAGUCUAAAAUUAAAUAAACUGAGUGGCCUGAUAUGCUAAGUCACUGCUUAUUUCACUCUCAAACAUUUUUCUCACUCACAUAUUCAUUCAAAAUAUACUGAGUGAGCCCCAUCCUGUGUGCCAUCCUGUGAGCUAUGAUGGUAAACAAGAACAAUGCCUGUCUAUGACUUAAGAGGUACUGGAGGAGUGAGUUUUAACAACUAAACAGGCACUCUCAGUAGUCCCAGAGGCUGAGAAUAGUCAAGGGAGCACUGAGCAGGUCACCUAUCAUAGCCCAGGAGAGCAUGAAGAAUGGGUUCUGGGUAAGCUUGCUGGAGGAGGAGACCUGUAACUUGAAGGAAGAGCAGAAGUUAGCCUGGUGAAGAGAAGGGUGGACCAAACAUGUAAAUGCCCAGGGUGAGUGAAAGCACAGCAUGAGUAUGACCCCUGAAAAUAGUCUGCUAUGCUUAGAACACAGGCUGGGGAAAGGAGAAAGAGUUGAAGCUGGAGAAGAGUGCUGGGGAAAAUUCAUGAGGUCUUAGACCCUGCUGAGGAGUUUGGCCUUUCUUUUGAAUGAUCCAGGUAAGAGAGUGACACAAAUAGGCAGACUGAAAAGCAUUAAGUCUGGAGUUAAGGAGAGCUCUGUUGGGAACGUCCUCACGACAUGGCAGCUGGCUUACCCCAGAGUGAGUGAUUAGAGAGAGCAAAGAUGCAGCCACAGUAUCUUUUAUAACUUAGCCUCAGAAGGGAUGUGCCAUUAUUUCCACCAUGCUCUAUCAGUCACUCAGACCAACUCUGAUAAAAUGUGUUAGAGGACCACACAAGAUCAUGAAUAACAGGAAGCAAGGAUCACUGGGAGACAUCUCAAAGGCUGAUAAUGACAAAGAGCGAAACCAAACUGAGACCAGAGAUUCAAGUUCAACAAACUGAGGCUGGUAGAUUUUCUGGGGGACAGUACCCAAGAGAUGGAAGCUACAUAAAGAGAAAGAGAAAUCUGCAUAGUGAUCCCCUGGAGUUUCUGGCUGAAGGGCAGCCUGCCCAUGCAUAGGAACAAGCCCAACAAUUCUCAGAGCUCACACAGAGUUGGGAACUGUUUGAGUUUCCACUAGCCAGAGUGGAAAGGCCUCAGUAAAUAUACCAGGUAUUUGGAAGACAAGCAGAAAGACCACACCACAGAAGCACUGUUAAGUUUGCCCUAGACAAAAGGCUACUGCAGAACCAUCCUAAAAGAACUUAACAAGAAAACUGGAAAGCAUCAAACUGACCCACAAGGAACUUAAAUGUCUGCUAGAACAAAGUUGUUAAAGGACUACAACGUCCUCCAGCACUCAAAAAUGUGAAAUUCACAAUAUGCACCGACCAAACAAACAAAAAGCCUGCUUGGAUUUUGGCUGGGAUUAAACUGAACUUAUAGAUCAAUCUGGGAAGAACUGACAGUAUGAUGUUUGCUACAGAUUUUUCAUAGAUGCCUUUUAUCAGAGCUGCUUGAAACCACCUCUGCUUUCUAGCUGCUGGCUAGCCUGACUUCCCUCAGGAAAGACCCAUAAAAGGAAGAAUUGCCCCCAACAAAUGAGCAGAGCAUGAUCUGUUGUGUGAAAGGAAAGAGGCAUGACUUUGGAUCCUGUAGAAGCCAGUUUGCUCUACCCAGCAAAAAACUGCUCCUUAUCCUGAGACUUUAACUCUGGCAACCAAUUUUCCUAGUUAGGUUACUGGAAACAAUAAGAGGAAUUGGGCCACAAUGAAUACGAUCCAAUGAAAAUCCAGUGAAAUUCUUAAAAAACCUUGGUAGUUCUGGUAUCUCAGUAUUGACACAGAAAAGACAGGCCCUACCUAAUGAAUAUUUUAACUUUUAUCAACCUUAAAACUCUAAUUAAAAUGUUGUCCAGCAA